rnacentral:tRNA from 1 species
GGAUGUGGCUCAAGCGGUAGCGCGCUCGUCUGGCAUGCACGGGGCACUGGGUUCGAUCCUCAGCACCG